GUAUUUGAGUUUCUUUCUUGAAGAUGAUUCCAAACUUGAACGCAUUAGAAAGGUAACACUAGUCAAUAAGUUCGUUAUUAAGAUCGCUACGCAGAAGGAAAAUGUGUCCAAGGGUUUUUGAAAAUUGUACUAUAUAUAUAUAUUUUGGAAUAUGGAGAAAAAGAUGGAAACAUGCAAUCAGGAGAUGUAAAGAAGCGAGUCACGGAAGUCUUGACAGAAAUAGUGGAGAAACACCGCAGGGCACGAGCUGCUGUUACCAAUGAGAUGGUGGACGCAUUCAUGGCCGUGAGACCUCUCCCAAGCAUGUUCGAGUAAGUAGGACUACUCACUCCUAAACCAGAAGAAACCCAUUUUGGCAGCUCCUCAAAACUUCAUGUCACAUCUUUGGGUCUAUAAUUAUUUCUCGUAGCAGUGUGAAAUGUUUUUCUUUAGGGAUUUGAUUUGAGUCGAUUCUUAAAAUUCUUAGUGGGAGUCGAUCGAACUUUCUUCUGUCCAGAAGUACAUACAGUUUGGUUCAGUCCAGAACUUUCUUGAGUAUAUAAUUAAAUAUGAUGGAAACUUAUGUUAAUUCCUCACUUAGAAGAUGUUCAAUAUUUAAUUUUAUUUUGUUGUUUAGUUUUUGGUUUAGUAUGUUUUGUAAUGAGAUUCUCUACUUAGAACAAAUUGAAUUAAUUUCUCAUA